rnacentral:rRNA from 1 species
CCUACGGGUGGCAGCAGUGGGGAAUAUUGGACAAUGGGGGCAACCCUGAUCCAGCCAUGCCGCGUGUGUGAAGAAGGCCCUCGGGUUGUAAAGCACUUUCAGUGAGGAAGAACGCCUGGUGGUUAAUACCCAUCAGGAAAGACAUCACUCACAGAAGAAGCACCGGCUAACUCCGUGCCAGCAGCCGCGGUAAUACGGAGGGUGCGAGCGUUAAUCGGAAUUACUGGGCGUAAAGCGCGCGUAGGUGGCUUGAUAAGCCGGUUGUGAAAGCCCCGGGCUCAACCUGGGAACGGCAUCCGGAACUGUCAAGCUAGAGUGCAGGAGAGGAAGGUAGAAUUCCCGGUGUAGCGGUGAAAUGCGUAGAGAUCGGGAGGAAUACCAGUGGCGCAGGCGGCCUUCUGGACUGACACUGACACUGAGGUGCGAAAGCGUGGGUAGCAAACAGGAUUAGAUACCCCAGUAGUC